AAAAGAUGUGAAAAAGAUUUUUAUGGCAAAAUCGGACAGCGUAUUUUUAAUUUAUUUUUUUUAAUGAGUUGAAUCUGGCCACUUUGUAGCUUUCACAUAGGUAAACACAUUUUCUGAUUGCAUUUCGUUUUGGGAUGCUCCAUGGCUGUGGCAGUUGCAAUAUUGCAGGUUGCUUAGGAAUUCAAGUGAACACGAGAAUGAAGCAAAAAAAGCUGACUAUAAAAAAAAAAAUCCAAAAUCUAUUGUAUUUAUUUGAGUAUUUUUUUUAGCAGAGGUGAUAAAAGCACAUCUGCUGCUGUGUGGUAGGCUGGUGCUCAGCCCUAAUGUGAGGAACCACAAAACCCCGUUGUUUUGUGCACUGUGCUGGCGCUGGAGCUUCCCCGUCACACAGCGCCUAACACUGGAGCUAUUCAUGCCGGCUGAUUCAAGGGGCUGACAGCAAUCUUUAUCUGGGCAUAGAAACUAGAAUUUUCCUCUGGGACAGAACAAAGCUUGAGAAAAAUAACUGCGCUCAGCAACAAUUUGUUUCAUCCUGCCAUCAGCGAGGCAGGAGUGUAGGGAAGUCCCUGCAGGUGACAGCAGCUCUCCUCUGCCCGGGCUUUAUGGCCGUGCUUUGCCGUUCCUCACAAGUCAUCGAAGAAUGGCUUUUCUUUCAUUUGUGUUGUCGAGAUGCCAGUGCAGCUGCUUGUGAAAGACUGUUGUGAAAAAACAGUAAGUAGUUAGAGCAGAAAAAGUAAAGGGCAGAAAUAAGUGAUUCACCUCCUGGUGGUUUGCCACCUGUGUCAUGUGGUUAGAUAUAUGAUGACGUCAAUAUUUUGAAGUCAGUUUUAUGUUUUUUGAGGAAAAUCCUUUGGAUGCAUUUUGUAUCACAAUAUUAUUCCCAGUGAUCCCCUCCUCUUUAUUCCACAAAGCUGUACAUUUUGUUUGCGUGCCUAUAUGUUACUCCUGAAGCAAGAGGUUUGUUUUAUUAUUGAAGAAUCAAGAUGUACAUCAUUUAGAAAAUAUUCCCUGCAGGUUCUUCUUUCACCAGCUCAAAGUCACUUUAAGAAAGGCAUCGCCUUAUCUCAGUAACACAUAUUUGAAAGUCAUUUAGUGAGCAAAUUGCCAGAUAAUUGCAUUGGUGGUAAUUGCAUCUUAAAUUGAUCUGCUGUUGAGAAAAAUGCUGAAAAUGAACUGUUCUUAAUCUUGAUAUGAAAAUAUUGGUUCUGUUAUAUUAAUUAGCAUGCUGUGAAAUAAGAAUAUUUUUUAAGGGAGAUGCUUAAGCUGAUCUGUUUAUUUUUAGUUAGUGCCUUUGGUUAGUUCCCUGGAAGAAUCAAAGCUCUGUUUGUGCCUGUGUGUGAGAGAGAGAAAAAAGUUUAUAGGAUGUCAAUCAAUGAAAACUCUAAAGGUUUUCCAUAAAACAGGAGUUUUGUGGCAUAUCUCAGGGAUUUUGUGUAGCUUUGUCAAAAUAUUUUUUCUCUUUCCUUUAACCCUGCUGUGUUCACAAUUGUGUCACUCAUUUCACUGUUGAACCUGUUAUGGGCAGCAAAACUUCUGGGUUGAUCUGAAGGGGUUUGGGAGAUUGACCUGACCAGGAAAUAGCAUUGCACUGCCUGUUGUACUUUGACCUGUAAUAAUUCCUGGUACUUCAUUCCACUUCUUGUAAGGUAGCUUUCUGUCUGCACGUUUCUUACUGCAGCUGUAUGUG
rnacentral:lncRNA from 1 species